rnacentral:rRNA from 1 species
UACAGAGGGGGCAAGCGUUGUUCGGAAUUACUGGGCGUAAAGGGCGCGUAGGCGGUUCGUUAAGUCCUGUGUGAAAUCCCCCGGCUCAACUGGGGAACUGCACAGGAAACUAGCGGGCUUGAGUUCGGGAGAGGGAAGCGGAAUUUCGGGUGUAGCGGUGAAAUGCGUAGAUAUCCGGAGGAACACCGGUGGCGAAGGCGGCUUCCUGGACCGACACUGACGCUGAGGCGCGAAAGCUAGGGGAGCAAACGGG